GUCCUUGUCGUAAACGAUGUAUACUUGAUGUAAUUAGGCUCAACCCUGAUUGUGUCGUAGCUAACGCGAUAAGUAUACCGCCUGAGGAGUACGCUCGCAAGGGUGAAACUCAAAAGAAUUGACGGGGGCCCGCACAAGCAGUGGAGCAUGUGGUUUAAUUCGAUGCAACGCGAAGAACCUUACCUGGGCUCGAAAUGCAUAGGGCGAUACCAGAAAUGGUAUUUUCCGCAAGGACUUAUGUAUAGGUGCUGCAUGGCUGUCGU
rnacentral:rRNA from 1 species